rnacentral:tRNA from 1 species
GCCCGAGUGGUGGAAUGGUAGACACGACGGAUUCAAAAUCCGUUGCUUUACGGCGUGCCGGUUCAAGUCCGGCCUCGGGUACCA